rnacentral:rRNA from 1 species
GACGAACGCUGGCGGCGUGCUUAACACAUGCAAGUCGAACGGAAAGGCCCUGCUGUUGUGGGGUGCUCGAGUGGCGAACGUGUGAGUAACACGUGAGUAACCUGCCCUUGACUUUGGGAUAACUUCAGGAAACUGGGGCUAAUACCGGAUAGGAGCUCCUGCUGCAUGGUGUGGGUUGGAAAGUUUCGGCGGUUGGGGAUGGACUCGCGGCUUAUCAGCUUGUUGGUGGGGUAGUGGCUUACCAAGGCUUUGACGGGUAGCCGGCCUGAGAGGGUGACCGGCCACAUUGGGACUGAGAUACGGCCCAGACUCCUACGGGAGGCAGCAGUGGGGAAUAUUGCACAAUGGGCGGGAGCCUGAUGCAGCAACGCCGCGUGCGGGAUGACGGCCUUCGGGUUGUAAACCGCUUUCGCCUGUGACGAAGCGUGAGUGACGGUAAUGGGUAAAGAAGCACCGGCUAACUACGUG